rnacentral:rRNA from 1 species
GUGAGGAAUUUUGCGCAAUGGGGGCAACCCUGACGCAGCGACGCCGCGUGGAGGACGAAGUCUUUCGGGAUGUAAACUCCUGUCAGUGGGGACGAUAAUGACGGUACCCACAGAGGAAGCACCGGCUAACUCCGUGCCAGCAGCCGCGGUAAGACGGAGGGUGCAAGCGUUGUUCGGAAUUACUGGGCGUAAAGCGUAUGUAGGCGGCAAGUUAAGUUCAAUGUUAAAGCCCACGGCUCAACCGAGGAGAUGCAUUGAAUACUGGCUAGCUAGAGGGUGUUAGAGGAAGACGGAAUUCCCAGUGUAGCGGUGAAAUGCGUAGAUAUUGGGAGGAACAUCGGUAGCGAAAGCGGUCUUCUGGGACACACCUGACGCUGAGGUACGAAAGCGUGGGGAGCAAACGGGAUUAGAUACCCGGGUAGUCC